rnacentral:rRNA from 1 species
AACGAACGCUGGCGGCAGGCCUAACACAUGCAAGUCGAGCGCACCUUCGGGUGAGCGGCGGACGGGUUAGUAACGCGUGGGAAUAUACCCAAAGGUACGGAAUAGCCUCUGGAAACGGAGAGUAAUACCGUAUGUGCCCUUCGGGGGAAAGAUUUAUCGCCUUUGGAUUAGCCCGCGUUGGAUUAGGUAGUUGGUGGGGUAAUGGCCUACCAAGCCUACGAUCCAUAGCUGGUUUGAGAGGAUGAUCAGCAACACUGGGACUGAGACACGGCCCAGACUCC